UUUCUUUUUUGAUUGAAGCAUUAAAUAUGUAUCAUAAUUACGGAUCCGUAGCAAAAAUAAUGGUCUAAUUUGGACAUCGUAUGUAGAUAUUAUGGCUAUUUUACUAAGAAUUAGAUUGCCAGAUUUUUUUCAGUUUAAUUACGAAAUUGCCACUAGCAUCGUAUUUUAAAAACUUGCACUAUUUGCAAAUAUUAAAACCUACAUAUCUCAUUCAUUAUAAGGUCAAAUUGAGUGAUUCAAAAGCUUAAAUUGAUUAGAAUUUUACAAGUAAUCUAUUGGAGGAAUAAAAUAUGAGUUUUGGGGCCGUUUGGAACGAUAAACGAGGCAGAAUAACUGGAAGAAAAAUAUAUAAAGCUAGGGUUUGUUCAUUCGGUCAUAUUUUGAGUUUGGGAGCUCGGAUUUGGGUGAUUUCGGAGGCGAUUUUCACCAUAUAGAUUGAGGUAGGUAUUAUAUACUCCAUAUUGGUUAUAUUUCAUAAAUUC
rnacentral:lncRNA from 1 species